rnacentral:rRNA from 1 species
UAGUAACGGCGAGUGAAGCGGGAAGAGCUCAAGCUUAAAAUCUCUGCGCAAGUUUUGCGUGGCGAAUUGUAGUCUAUAGACGCGGCAUCAGUGCGGCCGCUCGGGGUAAGUUCCUUGGAAGAGGACAGCAAUGAGGGUGAUACUCCCGUUUGUACCCGAGUGUGUUGCACGUACGAUGCGUGUUCUUUGAGUCGCGUUGUUUGGGAAUGCAGCGCAAAGUAGGUGGUAAAUUCCAUCUAAAGCUAAAUAUUGGUGCGAGACCGAUAGCGAACAAGUACCGUGAGGGAAAGAUGAAAAGAACUUUGAAAAGAGAGUUAAAGAGUACCUGAAACUGCUGAAAGGGAACCGGGUCGUUGCCAGUGUCUAUAAUCCGCUGCAUAUUUCAUUGCUGUGCGAGUCCGUGUCGCGUGUUGGAAUCAGUUUUUUGCUGGACCGCGCGUGUCUGUGGGUUUGCUCGGCGGUGCCCUGUGCGGCGGUGGGACGUUUCAGAGUCAUUUCGUGUUGCUGCGGGAAAUGGCUGUCGAGGAGGUAGGUCAGGAGCUCUGCUUUUGGCUUUUUAUAUCUUGGCGUGCUAGUUGUCGUGGUUGGGACUGAGGUGCCUUACAACGUGUCUUUGGAGUGCGUGUGCGUCUCUGUGUGCGUCCGGAUUGGAUAGCUUGCUAUGCAGUUUUGGAUCGUGUGUGGAUUGAUGCGCUUGCUAACUUUUGACCGUUC